UACGUAGGGUGCGAGCGUUAAUCGGAAUUACUGGGCGUAAAGCGUGCGCAGGCGGUGAUGUAAGACAGAUGUGAAAUCCCCGGGCUCAACCUGGGAACUGCAUUUGUGACUGCAUCGCUGGAGUGCGGCAGAGGGGGAUGGAAUUCCGCGUGUAGCAGUGAAAUGCGUAGAUAUGCGGAGGAACACCGAUGGCGAAGGCAAUCCCCUGGGCCUGCACUGACGCUCAUGCACGAAAGCGUGGGGAG
rnacentral:rRNA from 1 species